UUGCAGUGGCUACGCAGCGCCCGACGACACGUUCAGACACGUUUUCUGUCUCUAACUCACGUACUCUUUUUCGCUCAAUGUAGCCAUGUAUCGCUUUAUGUAUCGGGUAUAAAUGUUGAGUUGCGGUCGAAGCAGCAGCUCACAACGUUCCCCCCCGUUUCUAAUGUUUUUUCAGAGGUUGUGCUUCUUAAUCAUUGUUCUAAAAUGGUGCAGCAACUCUUGUCACUUUGUGUUGACGAUGAUAAUCCGCUAAACGCUUGUAUGCGCCAAUCUGCAAGACACCUCUCCACAGCUGACAGAUGGCGGGCUACUUGGGAAGUUGCAUUUACUGGGCAUCUGGUAAAAUGUACAUUACCCGAUUUACAGAUGUAGCCUGUAAGUAGUGUUUGAUGCGGUUUAUGAUUAAGAUGCCUGUCCCACCGUGUGCUUUUUCAUCCGAAUGAUCUGUUCCAUAUAAUGGAUGUGUUUGCCGUAUAGGAAUCAUGUUAGCCCAAGUUUAUGCUGUGAAACGACUCUGGCAUUCUACAGAGAUGCAUGAGAUUUUGUAUGUCUAUCAUACUUUGCUACAGAGUAAAUAUCAUUGCUUCAAUAGGGCUUUGUGGCUGAUCUGGGGGCUGCUGAGAGUUUACCAUAUUCGGCUGGGUUGGCUUUUCUAGUCAUUUUUUUAAAACACUAAAAAAAAGCUAUCUAUAUGGUGUUUGGGGGAUCAAAAACCUAGCCGCUUUUGCUAAGAUUAGUUCAGGUGUGAUUUUGGAUCAUACAAAUUCGUUGGGUCUAUUGUGAGAGCGUGCCGCUAUUACUCGGGGAACUCCUUGGAAACUGGACAGCCUCUAUAGUUCCCUGUGAGGUAUCCUCCACAGCUUCCACAUUUCUGCAGUCUGACCCUAGAGUACGUAAGUCCUGUUAUGCCCAUAUUCCUGGCAAUUUGUGCAUUGCCCUGGACUAUGGCGUUUAUGCGUUUCUUCUAAACUAAUUCUGGGGUGCUACAGGAAGUGCAGUUUGUAGAUUGAGUGUACUUCGUUUUGCUUUAAAGUUCAUAUGUAUGUCUGGCUCGAGCUCGACCAUGAAAAGUGGUUUUGGCUUUUUGCUUCUGUUAAUAAUAUUUUUUACUGUCUUGGCUACAAAGCCUUUUUCCCUUAGCGCAUCUGUGAUUUCAAAUAUUUUAACGUCUUCGGACAAAAUUAAAAGCUUUCGCACUAAGUUGGUGUUAUGGAUCAGUAACGAUAUCAGUGGUACCAAUGAAAUGAAGUGAAAAUGAUAGUGAAGCAAUUGGAAAUAUUAACUGUUAUUUUGCACAAGUGGGCCCUACUAGCUACUACGAAACAAGACAAAUUUGUAGAUAUGCGCGGUCUUCUUUGCCCAUCCCACCGUAACAACAUAAACUGAGAUAAAACUAAUAGUUAUAUGCAGAGCACCAAGGACUUCAGACUGAUGUAUAAUAUUUAUUGUAUAAGUUGCAUAAAUCAUAUGUAUACUGAGCACCGCGAAACGUGCACUGAGACUUAUGUACAUAUGUAUGUAAGUUACGAUUUGUUGCAAAGUUGCAAGCGUGCCAAUAAAGGACUUAGGGAACAAGUUUUCGGAAGCCGGAAUAAAACUAGCUCUAUCCCUUAAGGGAUAUUGUAAGAUUUUUUCGAACCGUGAUCGGAACACCUACAAGCCGUAUUUGUUUUUAAGUACUUGGUAAUAACAUACAUACAAUAGUAUAUCAUAAUCUUACAAAUAAAUCAACCCUUAAAGUGUAUAGAAUAUUUACAUAAAAUCUGUGUACAAUCGCUAGUUACAUAACAGCUCUUUGGAUAGCAAUUAAAUAGCUCUGGAGGAUGAAAUCCGACUAAUUUAACUAUGUAUGUGAAAACGAUAUACAUACUUUUACUUAAUUAGUACUUCUACAUUGCAUGUAAACCGUUAUUUAUACAGUGAAAGACAAACUCUUGCCUUGCAAUGUUCGGACAUUUAUUCCACAUUACACAAAAAAACGGUCACCAAAAACAGUACUAGUUACCAAAUGAUGUAAAAUACCUUUUUAUAUAUUUAACACAAAAAUGUACUGGAAAUUUAUAUGUUCGACAAAUUGAACUGUGAUACAUAUGUAUGCAUCUGAAUGUUACUUUGUACAUUGCAUUUUCUAACAUAUUAAAAUAAAGAAAAAAACUCUUGAAACA